UACGAAGGGGGCUAGCGUUGCUCGGAAUCACUGGGCGUAAAGGGUGCGUAGGCGGGUUUUUAAGUCAGAGGUGAAAUCCUGGAGCUCAACUCCAGAACUGCCUUUGAUACUGAAGAUCUUGAGUUCGGGAGAGGUGAGUGGAACUGCGAGUGUAGAGGUGAAAUUCGUAGAUAUUCGCAAGAACACCAGUGGCGAAGGCGGCUCACUGGCCCGAUACUGACGCUGAGGCACGAAAGCGUGGGGAGCAACAGG
rnacentral:rRNA from 1 species